rnacentral:rRNA from 1 species
AGAACGAACGCUGGCGGCAUGCCUAAUACAUGCAAGUCGAACGAACUCUUCGGAGUUAGUGGCGCACGGGUGCGUAACGCGUGGGGAAUCUGCCCCCUUGGUUCGGAAUAACAGUUGGAAACGACUGCUAAUACCGGAUGAUGACGAAAGUCCAAAGAUUUAUCGCCAAGGGAUGAGCCCGCGGUAGGAUUAGCUAGUUGGUAGAGGUAAAGGCUCACCAAGGCAACGAUCCUUAGCUGGUCUGAGAGGAUGAUCAGCCACACUGGGACUGAGACACCGGCCCAGACUCCACGGGGAGCAGCAGUAGGAAUAUGGACAUGGGACGAAGCCUGAUCAGGACAAUGGCCGCGUAGGAGUGAC